rnacentral:rRNA from 1 species
UAGGGAAUCUUCCGCAAUGGACGCAAGUCUGACGGAGCAACGCCGCGUGAGUGAAGAAGGAUUUCGGUUCGUAAAACUCUGUUGUUAGAGAAGAACAGCGCAUAGAGUAACUGUUAUGCGUGUGACGGUAUCUAACCAGAAAGCCACGGCUAACUACGUGCCAGCAGCCGCGGUAAUACGUAGGUGGCAAGCGUUGUCCGGAUUUAUUGGGCGUAAAGCGCGCGUAGGCGGUUUUUUAAGUCUGAUGUGAAAGCCCACGGCUCAACCGUGGAGGGUCAUUGGAAACUGGAGAACUUGAGUGCAGAAGAGGAAAGUGGAAUUCCAUGUGUAGCGGUGAAAUGCGCAGAGAUAUGGAGGAACACCAGUGGCGAAGGCGACUUUCUGGUCUGUAACUGACGCUGAUGUGCGAAAGCGUGGGGAUCAAACAGG